rnacentral:misc_RNA from 1 species
AAAACCUGGUACUGGGAGACUAUCAGUGAUCUGCCAUUGAUGAAGCAUUUCAGUUGUUGCCUACUGAUCCAAGGGCUCUGAUACCAAUUGUUACGUAGCAAAGUUCCCAAAAUCCCAAACCUGCAGAAUAACAAAGGAAGAAUAUCGAGGAAGGAGAGAGGGAGCGGGAGAGAAAGAAGUAGAAAGAAAGAGAGAUAGAAAGAGAAAUGUUUUUUAUUAUUC